rnacentral:rRNA from 1 species
UACGUAGGGGGCGAGCGUUGUCCGAAGUUACUGGGCGUAAAGCGCGCGUAGGCGGUCCUUUAAGUCCGGGGUGAAAGGUUCAGCGCUCAACGUGAACAGUGCCCUGGAGACUGGGGGACUUGAGUGUGGGAGGGGGCAGUGGAAUUCCAGGUGUAGCGGUGAAAUGCGUAGAUAUCAGGAGGAACACCGAUGGCGAAGGCAGCUGCCUGGCCUGACACUGACGCUGAGGUGCGAAAGCGUGGGGAGCGAACGGG